rnacentral:rRNA from 1 species
GACGAAGGGGGCUAGCGUUGUUCGGAAUUACUGGGCGUAAAGCGAGUGUAGGCGGUUGUUCAAGUCAGGUGUGAAAGCCUUGAGCUCAACUCAAGAAAUGCACUUGAUACUGGAUGACUAGAGGACCGGAGAGGGUAGUGGAAUUCCCAGUGUAGUGGUGAAAUACGUAGAGAUUGGGAAGAACACCAGUGGCGAAGGCGGCUAUCUGGACGGUUACUGACGCUAAGACUCGAAAGCGUGGGGAGCAAACAGG